UCUGGCGGGGGGAUUCAGUUAGGAGAGGCGGCGGCGACGUCGGUCGAAUAAACGGACCCUUAUCCGGGGCCGGGCCGACUUCGCGGUCGACGUUUCACCUGACGCAUUUCCUCCCGCACUAAGGACGCCGCAGCCGGUUGGGUAGCUGCGUGAGUCGGCCAUGAGGACGUGCGACGGCAGGUGGCCGGUGGCGUCGCCUAGGCUUCGUCGCCGGUUGUUAGCCAGCUCGUCCGUGGCGCGACACCCGACCGAGGUUGAACGGUUCCCGCAUGGGAACUCGCCGCCCCCUUCCCCUCUCGGGGGGGAGCGGGCGUUCCGGCAGGCAAAUCGCGGCGUUCGCCACGUCACUCCCCGUAGUGGCCGGUGCGCCGAGGUAGCUGUUGGCUGGAAACGUCCCGCCGGGGUGCAGGCGGCUAGCGGCGAGUAGGUCGGUCACCCACCCGACCCGUCUUGAAACACGGACCAAGGAGUCUAACAUGUGCGCGAGUCACGGGGUCUUGAUUAGGCCCAGAGGCGCAAUGAAAGUGAAGGUCGACCUCGACGUCGGCUGUGUUGGGAUUUCCGGCCCCUCGGGGCUGGGAAGCACCAACGACCCGUCCUCUCCGAUUCAUCGGUUGGGCGGAGUCUGAGCGUACACGUUGGGACCCGAAAGAUGGUGAACUAUGCCUGGGCAGGACGAAGCCAGAGGAAACUCUGGUGGAGGUCCGUAGCGGUUCUGACGUGCAAAUCGAUCGUCAGACCCGGGUAUAGGGGCGAAAGAC
rnacentral:rRNA from 1 species